ACGAUUUAAAUGAUAUAUUCGCGAAUAUUUCGAGCAGCUCGCGAAAACAUAACGUAUAGGCGCUAUUGUUUUUCGGUUUAAAAUGAGGAAAUAUGUACAUAUGUAUGUAUGUACAUACAUAUGUAUUUAUAACGCGGUUAAAGUCUACAUGCUCAUACUACUAUAUGCGUGGCUUAGUGUGUGUUGUGAAACUGUAGAUGGCACGCUGCUGCAGUUCAGAUUAAAUUGGUCGUAUUCUCUUCGGGCUCUUCGUCUCUUUUGCACACAGUCACACAGUAACACACACACACACACACACAACAAACAAACAUAAAUAGACAUCCGCUUCACUCUUGAAUUCGUACCCUAAAACCUUAAAAACGUAUCAAAGAGUAGUAUGAAAUGAAACGAGAAGGGAGGCCGCAGCUGAUGAUUGAUACUCUUGCAGAUCGAUCGUUCUUAUGUCAGAACGCGCUGCGCGCCAUUAGUAUUAUUUGUAUUAUUUGUUGAGGGCGAGCAGCAAAUUCUCAAAUGGCAACGGAUUCAAAUGGCAAUGCUGUGGCAAUCCUUCAAGAAUUCUUCUGAUGACAAGAUAAAAUAUCGGUAUCAAUAGUUGGCAAGGGUUGGCAAGUGAAUGUAAACUCCGCAUUAGUUAUUUGAAAUAUUUACAAAAUACCAUGCGA